UACAGCCAUAUCAUGUUGAAACAACAGUUCUCAUAUGAUCACCGAAGUUAAGCAAUGUUGAGCCCAGUCAGUACUUAGAUGGGUAACCAUUUGGGAAUACUAGGUGCUGUA